UUGGCCUCAGCCCUUAGCCACACACCCUCCUGACAACAUGAGACCCAGCAGCUUCUUGGUUCUGGCGGUUCUCCUCGUCCUCGGCAUGCUGGUGGGACAGGCAGCUGUCAGUGGAGAAGCUUACCAAGUUCUGGACAAAGGACAAGUUACACGUCCAGGCAUGGGGCAUGGUCCAGUCAAAGUUCCACCAAAGCCUGGCUCCUGCCCCAGGAUUCAGAUGAAGUGCGCCAUGAUGAAUCCCCCUAACAAAUGUAUGAUGGAUUCUCAAUGUGCCGGGAACAAGAAGUGCUGUAUGGGCUAUUGUGGAAGAGUCUGUAUGACGCCCAAGAACUGAAUGGAGGAAGAGGUGGAGCCUGCUCUUGUUGCACCAGUGAAGACCCAGGACUGCAGUCCCUGGUCCCUACAGCAUUUGAAUGCCUUUCUCACAUGGCUCAUUCUUCCUCUCAUCGAGGUUGCCUAAACCUGGGCUGCUUCUCUCAGUGAUUUCCUAAUAAAAGACUGCUUUCUACUCCAUUUGUUUGGCUCCUAUGACUUCUAUGCUCAUGGAAGCUCCUGGAGGAUGUUGACUAAGUCAGGAGGACUAGUAGCCUUAAAAAAAAAAAAAAAAAAAAAAAAAAGGCUUGUUGAUCUAUUCAUUUUACCUGAACCAGAAAUCAAGUUCAUAGCAAGAAUUCCAGGAUAAUAGAAUGAUUUGAACCAAAGUGGAGAAUCAAAGAUAAUGCAAUUUGGGGAGAAGAUAAGAACAAUUAAACGGUAAAUGGACACUCCAUAAAAGGCCAAGUGUUCUGCAUCAUUUUGGUGUCCUGUCAAUAAUCUUUCUGCUCCUCUAAAUCCUGGCAGCAUUUCCCUUCUGGGGGAAGAUCUCAAAUAUGACCAGAGUUGUGCUUUCGAUGGCUUGUAAUUUGGAAACUGUGUUUAACAAGUUGUUUCCUGUCCAUUCUUCUACGAGAGUGAUGGAAGGGAAGUGUCCAAAGGAGAUCUGAGAAUUUCAAACAAACAAAACAAAAAUCUUGGUGUGUGUAUUGGAUGAAGUCCACAAAUUGACGAACAUGCAUUAGCAGAUGGGACGUCAGUAGAUGUGGUCAAACCUGGACACUGUCCGGAGUUCCCACUUCGCUGCCCUUUCACGAUGAUACCGCUGUGCCGGCGCGAUAGAAUCUGCAAGAAGGACAAGAAGUGUUGCUUCUACAACUGUAGAUAUCAGUGUAUGGUGCCGUGGGAGAGUCUGGAUUGAGGUAGAAAUCCCUUCUUACCGGGCCCUGAGAAGACACUGGUAGAACAGGCUCCGACUCGGAUAACUGGUCUCCAACUCUUCCCUGUUCUCCUCACCCCCCAGACUUCCUUCAUCAGAGUUCAAUGCUUAUUACUAUGAAAGCAACACAAAGAAAUAAAGUGUUAUCUACCUGAAACAAUUGUCCAUGAAAAUCUAUGACUGCGGGGUCGCUCUGUGCUCCGCCUUCCGGGAAGAUCCUUGAGGGGUCUUCUGACACUC